UACGUAGGGGGCUAGCGUUGUCCGGAAUCAUUGGGCGUAAAGCGCGUGUAGGCGGUUCGGUAAGUCCGCUGUGAAAGUCGGGGGCUCAACCCUCGAACGCCGGUGGAUACUGUCGGGCUAGAGUGCGGAAGAGGCGAGUGGAAUUCCUGGUGUAGCGGUGAAAUGCGCAGAUAUCAGGAGGAACACCAAUUGCGAAGGCAGCUCGCUGGGACGCUACUGACGCUGAGACGCGAAAGCGUGGGAGCAAACAGG
rnacentral:rRNA from 1 species